GCAAUAAUUAUAAUUGCGGCAAUAUUUUUCUCAAAUACCAACAUUUCAUUAAGUUUUCUCUUCUAUCCAAGGUGUUUUACAAUAAAUGGAUGAGCUGGCACAAUUAUUACUUUUUAUACCCACUUUCACUCUCCUCCAUUAGCAAUCAUCCAGAGACUGAAACAUCAAACAGAGACAAAUCAUUUCCUUCGUCUUCUCAUCCAAAAUUCAUGAUCAUGGCUUCUAAUGAUUUCUUUAAAACAAUAGACUUCAAAUUUAUGGCUUCUAAUCAUUUACUUCGUCUUCUCAUCUAAGAUUCACCCAAACAGCGUCGUUGUCAUCACUCCCCAUCGUCCUAAAGCUCUCAACGCCAUGAACUUAGAUAUGGAUGCUAAGUACAAAAGUUUUCUGGGUGUAUGGGAAUCAGAUCCGAUUAAUUUUGAUUGGCAGCUCUCAAAGGUACCCAGAUGUUAAGUACAAUAAGUGUGUUCUUAUUGAAGGCAGCUCUCCUUGUGCAUUUUGUGCUGGCUAUUGAUGAUCCUUCAUUCUAAUCCCCUUUGGCUCAACGGAGGUCGGCUCUUUGAUCAUUUUACAUUUUAAUUUUGUUCAUAAUAAUUUGUCUUAUACUAUUGAUUUUUGAAUA